ACUAGCUUCAACCUUCCUAACUUUGUUCAGAUGUCCUAAUGUCAUUACAAAGCACAUAGUACACAUCAUGGCGAGUCAACAUACCCUCAUUGGAUUAAUCCUAUUUCUAUCGGUGGAUUGGACUUCAUCUGUCAUUCCAGAGAAUGAGAAGCAUCCCAGCUACUGGAACAACAAGGGGAAGCAGGCCCUCCACAAAGCUCUGGAUAUGAAGCCAAACAUCCGUCGGGCUAAGAACUCUAUUCUGUUCCUGGGAGAUGGUAUGGGCAUCCCCACAGUGACUGCAGCGAGGAUCCUCAAAGGACAGAUGAAUGGAGGGAACGGAGAGGAGUUUAGUCUGGCAAUGGACACCUUCCCACACUUAGCCCUGUCUAAGACGUACAACGUGGACCAGCAGAUGCCUGACAGUGCCGGCACAGCCACUGCCUACCUGUGUGGUGUGAAGGCCAACUAUGGAACCCUGGGUCUCAGUGCCUCAGCUCUGCGCUACAACUGCAACAGCACCUUCGGAAACGAGGUGGAAUCUGUCCUUCACCGCGCCAAGAUGGCGGGGAAGUCGGUGGGCAUCGUCUCCACCGCCCGUGUGCAGCAUGCCUCUCCUGGAGCCGCCUACUCCCACACAGCCAACCGAGGCUGGUAUGCCGACUCUGACAUGAACAUCGCAGACAUCACAGCAGGAUGCCGUGACAUCGCCUACCAGCUGGUCCACAACACUGACAUCAAUGUCAUUCUUGGUGGAGGACGAAAAUAUAUGUUUUCCAAGGAAACACCGGACCCAGAGUAUCCAUCACACAAAGGAGUCCGUAACGACAAGUUUGACCUCACCGCAGUGUGGCUCAAUAACAAACAGAAUGCAAAGUAUGUGUGGAACAAAGAUGAAUUUGACAAAGUGAAUCCGGAAAAAACAGACUACCUGAUGGGUCUGUUUGAGCCAAGUGACUGCCGCUAUGAGCUAGAGCGUGACCAUACCUUGGACCCUUCCCUCACUGAAAUGGUGGACAAAGCCAUCAAGAUCCUCCGCAGGAACCCCAAAGGAUACUACCUCUUUGUGGAAGGGGGGAGAAUUGAUCACGGUCACCAUGGCAGCGGGGCCAAAUUUGCCCUGACGGAGGCGGUGGAGUUUGACAAUGCCAUCGAGCGGGCGGCAGAACUGACCAGUGAGCUGGACACUCUGUCUGUGGUCACUGCUGACCACUCCCACGUCUUCUCCUUUGGAGGGCACUCCAACAGAGGGAACCCGGUCUUAGGUCUGUCCCGUAACCUGGCUGAUGAUAAAAAGAGCUUCACCACCACACUCUAUGGAAACGGACCAGGAUACAAGUUAGUCAAUGGGUCUCGUCCAGAUGUCAACACGACGGAAGCAGAUCACAAAGAUUACAAGCAGCAGUCAGCCGUACCUCUGGACUCUGAGACCCACGGCUCAGAGGACGUGGCCAUCUUUGCCAAGGGCCCCAUGGCCCACCUCUUUCACGGGGUCCAGGAGCAGAGCUACAUCGCCCAUGUCAUGGCCUACGCAGCCUGCAUUGAGCCCUACACAGACUGCUUCAUCCCAGACCUAGAACCAGAGCCUGGCCACACAGGAGCCACCAACCCCAGCCUCAUAGUGCUGCUGAUGGGCCUCAUACCUGCCCUCCUCUCCCUCUUCUCCCUCUGAUGGGCCUCAUACCUGCCCUCCUCUCCCUCUUCGCUGUCUGAUGGGCCUCAUACCUGCCCUCCUCUCCCUCUUCGCUGUCUGAUGGGCCUCAUACCUGCCCUCCUCUCCCUCUUCUCCCUCUGAUGGGCCUCAUACCUGCCCUCCUCUCCCUCUUCUCCCUCUGAUGGGCCUCAUACCUGCCCUCCUCUCCCUCUUCGCUGUCUGAUGGGCCUCAUACCUGCCCUCUUCUCCCUCUGAUGGGCCUCAUACCUGCCCUCCUCUCCCUCUGAUGGGCCUCAUACCUGCCCUCCUCUCCCUCUGAUGGGCCUCAUACCUGCCCUCUUCUCCCUCUGAUGGGCCUCAUACCUGCCCUCUUCUCCCUCUGAUGGGCCUCAUACCUGCCCUCCUCUCCCUCUUCGCUGUCUGAUGGGCCUCAUACCUGCCCUCCUCUCCCUCUUCGCUGUCUGAUGGGCCUCAUACCUGCCCUCCUCUCCCUCUUCGCUGUCUGAUGGGCCUCAUACCUGCCCUCCUCUCCCUCUUCGCUGUCUGAUGGGCCUCAUACCUGCCCUCCUCUCCCUCUUCACUGUCUGAUGGGCCUCAUACCUGCACUCUUCUCCCUCUGGGCCUCAUACCUGCCCUCCUC